rnacentral:lncRNA from 1 species
CUUGACUUGUUUACUUUCUUUGGCAUUUCUUUGACAUGCUGAGCUACAACCUUCUAUUGCCGAGGAGACAAAAAAAUGACUUUGCCUGGGAAGUAAACUAAUUCUAUCACUGCCAAUUGAUUAAGCUAUUCACUUAAUGUACAAUAGAUGUUCAGGGAAACUUUUAGGGAAACACUUAUGACCUUCUCUUGUUAGGUUAAACCACGGAAGAAGAGUGGCCAGCAGUUAUAUUUGACAUGUUUCUGCUUCAGUAGGCCUACUCUGACUGGGAUGAAAAGCCCUGUACGAAUCAAAAUUCCUGCGUUGCCAUGUAAUGCUUACAGGAUGAAGAACGGAUUCUAAAAGGCUCUGGUCUGUCCGAGAAGGGAGGGUAAACGCACAGGACUGGAUGAGCAAUGCAAUGACUUCAGUAUCAGAGACCCUCAAGCAGUAGAAGCUGGUGGAAGGAAGAAUGGGAGGACGGCUGGGCUCAUUGUGAUCACACCGCCCUCAGGUUGUGAAGUCAUCUAACAGUCAGAGAGAGAGAGUGACUUAUAC